rnacentral:rRNA from 1 species
CCUACGGGAGGCAGCAGUGAGGAAUAUUGGUCAAUGGACGAGAGUCUGAACCAGCCAAGUAGCGUGAAGGAUGACUGCCCUAUGGGUUGUAAACUUCUUUUAUAUGGGAAUAAAAUGUUCCACGUGUGGGAUUUUGUAUGUACCAUAUGAAUAAGGAUCGGCUAACUCCGUGCCAGCAGCCGCGGUAAUACGGAGGAUCCGAGCGUUAUCCGGAUUUAUUGGGUUAAAAGGGGGCGCAGGGGGAGUUUUAAGUCAGUGGUAAAAUCGUGGGGCUCAACCCCAGACAGCCGUUGAAACUGGGGAUCUAGAGUGUACGAGAGGUAAGCGGAAUGCGUGGUGUAGCGGUGAAAUGCAUAGAUAUCACGAAGAACCCCGAUUGCGAAGGCAGCAUACCGGUGCACAACUGACGCUGAGGCACGAAAGCGUGGGUAUCGAACAGGAUUAGAUACCCGAGUAGUC